rnacentral:rRNA from 1 species
GGGGGGGGCAAGCGUUGUUCGGAAUUACUGGGCGUAAAGGGUUCGUAGGUGGCCUGCUAAGUCAGACGUGAAAUCCCUCAGCUUAACUGGGGAACUGCGUCUGAGACUGGCGGGCUUGAGUGCAGGAGAGGAACGCGGAAUUCCAGGUGUAGCGGUGAAAUGCGUAGAUAUCUGGAGGAACACCGGUGGCGAAGGCGGCGUUCUGGACUGCUACUGACACUGAGGAACGAAAGCCAGGGGAGCAAACGGGAUUAGAUACCCCGGUAGUCCUGGCCCUAAACGAUGAAUGCUUGGUGUGGCGGGUAUCGAUCCCUGCCGUGCCGCAGUUAACGCGUUAAGCAUUCCGCCUGGGGAGUACGGUCGCAAGGCUGAA